rnacentral:lncRNA from 1 species
UUUGCAUAGAAUUCAAUAAAAAUGUAUGAGCAUAAAAUGCAACUUUAUAGAUGCAUAUAAUCUAAGCUUUAUAAUGUUUGUCAUGUUACUGCACGCAUAAAAAAAUCAUGAUCAAUUUAUCUACAAAAUUUAAGCUAUGAACAACAUUUCAGCAUUCCUGAAAGCUGAAAUAAAUGCCAUGUCAUGUACUUAACUGUUCAAAAUUACUGACACUACAGACUUCAUAUAACUAAAGCGUACUUCAUAUAACUAAAGCAUCUUUUAAAUAGUUAUAAAGUGGAGGUAAAUAUGAUUACUAGAGUACUAAGAAACUUAAAAUAUAGUGCACAUAAAAAUGAAGACCAGGUGAGA